UACAGAGGAGCCAAGCGUUGUCCGGAUUGACUGGGCGUAAAGCGCACGCAGGCGGUGGUGCGCGUGGGGUGUGAAAUCUGGCCGCUUAACGGCCAGGCGCCAUCCCAUACGGCACGACUGGAGGGCUGCAGAGGUCGAUGGAAUUGCCGGUGUAGUGGUGAAAUGCGUAGAGAUCGGCAGGAACACCCAGGGGGAAACCAGCCGACUGGGCAUCUGCUGACGCUGAGGUGCGAGAGCGUGGGGAGCGAACCGG
rnacentral:rRNA from 1 species